rnacentral:rRNA from 1 species
GUAUACGACCGUACCGCAAACCGACACUGGUGCGCGAGAUGAGUAUUCUAAGGCGCUUGAGAGAACUCAGGAGAAGGAACUCGGCAAAUUGACACCGUAACUUCGGAAGAAGGUGUGCCCUAUUAGUGUGUAGUGAACAACGAAGCAUGAAUGGGUUGCAAAAAAUCGGUGGCUGCGACUGUUUAUUAAAAACACAGCACUCUGCAGACACGAAAGUGGACGUAUAGGGUGUGACGCCUGCCCGGUGCUGGAAGAUUAAAUGAUGGGGUGCAAGCUCUUGAUUGAAGUCCCAGUAAACGGCGGCCGUAACGAUAACGGUCCUAAGGUAGCGAAAUUCCUUGUCGGGUAAGUUCCGACCUGCACGAAUGGCGUAACGAUGGCCACACUGUCUCCUCCUGAGACUCAGCGAAGUUGAAAUGUUUGUGAUGAUGCAAUCUCCCCGCGGAAAGACGGAAAGACCCCAUGAACCUAUACUGUAGCUUUGUAUUGGACUUUGAACAGAUCUGUGUAGAUAGGUGGGAGGCUUUGAAGCAGGGUCGCUAGAUCUUGUGGAGCCAACGUUGAAAUACCACCCUGGUGUGUUUGAGGUUCUAACCUAGGUCCAUUAUCUGGAUCGGGGACAGUGCAUGGUAGGCAGUUUGACUGGGGCGGUCUCCUCCCAAAGCGUAACGGAGGAGUUCGAAGGUACGCUAGUUACGGUCGGACAUCGUGACGAUAGUGCAAUGGCAUAAGCGUGCUUAACUGCGAGACUGACAAGUCGAGCAGAUGCGGAAGCAGGACAUAGUGAUCCGGUGGUUCUGUAUGGAAGGGCCAUCGCUCAACGGAUAAAAGGUACUCUGGGGAUAACAGGCUGAUACCGCCCAAGAGUUCAUAUCGACGGCGGUGUUUGGCACCUCGAUGUCGGCUCAUCUCAUCCUGGGGCUGUAGCCGGUCCCAAGGGUAUGGCUGUUCGCCAUUUAAAGAGGUACGUGAGCUGGGUUUAAAACGUCGUGAGACAGUUUGGUCCCUAUCUUCCGUGGGCGCUGCAGAUUUGAGGAAGCCUGCUCCUAGUACGAGAGGACCGGAGUGGACACACCUCUGGUGUAUCGGUUGUCACGCCAGUGGCAUUGCCGAGUAGCUAAGUGUGGAAGAGAUAACCGCUGAAAGCAUCUAAGCGGGAAACUCGUUUCAAGAUGAGAUCUGCCGGGGCCUUGAGCCCCCUAAAGAGUCGUUCAAGACCAGGACGUUGAUAGGUCAGGUGUGGAAGC